rnacentral:rRNA from 1 species
GACGUAGGGCGCGAGCGUUGUCCGGAUUUAUUGGGCGUAAAGAGCUCGUAGGCGGCUCAUUGCGUCAACCGUGAAAACCUGCAGCUUAACUGUGGGCUUGCGGUUGAUACGGGUGGGCUGGAGUUCGGUAGGGGAGACUGGAAUUCCUGGUGUAGCGGUGAAAUGCGUAGAUAUCGGGAGGAACAUCUGUGGCGAAGGCGGGUAGCUGGGCCGACACUGACGCUGAUGCGCGAAAGCCAGGGGAGCGAACGGG